ACUCUUGUUUCUCUUCAUAACGCAUAAAUCUUUUCCCUUUGCUAAAGAUUUCCGUGGGGAGAAACAACAAGAGAACAAUUUCAAUUAUUAAAUACCAUCUGAAGCAGGGUU